rnacentral:rRNA from 1 species
AGUAACGCGUGGGCAACCUGCCCCCAUAGAGGGGGACAACAGCUGGAAACGGCUGCUAAUACCGCAUAACAAGGAGGGAGCGCAUGUCUUUUCUUCAAAGAUUUAUCGCUAUGGGAUGGACCCGCGUCUGAUUAGCUAGUUGGUGAGGUAACGGCUCACCAAGGCGACGAUCAGUAGCCGGCUUGAGAGAGUGAACGGCCACAUUGGGACUGAGACACGGCCCAGACUCCUACGGAAGGCAGCAG